rnacentral:rRNA from 1 species
AACGAACGCUGGCGGCAGGCCUAACACAUGCAAGUCGAGCGAGAUCUUCGGGUCUAUCGGCGGACGGGUGAGUCACGCGCGGGAAUAUGCCUCUUGGUACGGAAUAUCCUCGGGAAACUGGUAGUAAUACCGUAUGUGCCCUUUGGGGGAAAGAUUUAUCGCCAGGAGAUUAGCCCGCGUUGGAUUCGGUAGUUGGUGGGGUAAUGGCCUACCAAGCCGACGAUCCGUAGCUGGUUUGAGAGGAUGAUCAGCCACACUGGGACUGAGAAACGGCCCGGAAUCUUACGGAAGGCAGCAAAGGGGAAUCGUAGACAACGGGGGCAAUGAUGAACUAGCCAGGCCGGGAGAGUGAUGAAGGCAUUAGGGUAGUAAAGCUCUUUCAGCUGGGAAGAUAAUGACGGUACCAGCAGAAGAAGCCCCGGCUAACUCCGUG